GCUUCUCCCCUUCCAGGUGGGUCAGACACUCUCCCCUGAGCCAGGGAUGUACCUGCAGAGCCAUGGGUGAGGUCCAGCUGGGAGAAUCCUCCUGUCUCAGGCCUCCAUCCCUCUGCUCUCAGGUCCCUGCACAGCUGCUGGAGCCCUGUCCAUCCUCAGGGGUGUGGGAUGUGCAUCCUGUGACUUGGAUUUUCACUGCUCUGAAAAUGGAGAAUAAACCGGUGCAAUCCAAGAGAAACAGGAAGGAAAGUGAUCUUUUUAAAGGAAAAAAGAAAGAAAGAGAUCUGAGCAGUCCCCAGGCUGUCCUCUUAUGCAUGAAAAAUCUGUAGCAUAGCAAAGCCUGGAGGGAUCUUAGAUCCUUUUGGGCAUCCAAGGGACACUGAAAAGCUGGGUGCUGCUGGAGGAAGAGCAUCUGGAGGGGCAGUGACACAUGGUCUGCAUGGAUGGGGUCCCAGCAACCUGGAUUUUGCUGUGCUCACUGCACAGCAAUAGCUCCCCUUGGCAAAACUGCUCAGGCUUGUGUGGAAAUGGAAGAAUGAAGUGGGAGUUCAUUUUUCCUCGCUUUCCCAACCAGGAGAUUCAUGAGGUGGCUGGAUCAGGAUGUCACCCAAAAAGCUCUGUGGAAAUGGGAGAGGGCUCCAGAGGUGCAAGACACAAGUUCAGGGGCAAAUGGAAAUGAGGGAUGAAGAACAUUUCCCCUUUAAGGUUUGGCUUAUCCUGGCAGAGACUGGAGGUAACUUUUGUUUUUCCCAGGCACCUUUGAUUUUUUUUUUUUAAUUUUAUGUUUUAAAGCAAUCCCAAGCUGGCAAAGCGGGAAGGUGAAUUUGCUGGAAAAUUGCAAUGCCUCCCCAAAAUUCAAUAGCUGCCCCAGGGUGCUUGGCUUGUGAGCAUGGCCAGGGAAACAAAUGCCACCUGCAGAGCUCCAGCUCUUUGUUAGAGGGCAGGGAAAAGAGGAGGAGAGCAGUGCAGCGAUGUUAAUUUGUUGUCUCAGGGAAUAAGUGUCCGUCCCUUGGAGCUGCAGGGAGGGCUCUCAGUUUUUUGCAGGCUCCUGAUGAUGUGAGCUGUUGGAAAACUUGUGUCUGAGGGAGCUUAGGAGGCUUCCUGCUGGUGGCCAGUGCCUGCUGGAGAGGAAAACCCAACAGGAGCAGUGGGAGGCUCUGAGGGUGCUGCUGCUGACCUCUGGUCCUGAGCCCUCAUUGUCACUCAAAGGCAAAUCCCACUUCCAAAGCCAUCCCAGCAGGCUCAGUGCUGUUUGUGAGGCUCUCCCUGUGGCAUCCAGAGCAGCAUCUCAAAGGGGAGAGUGCAGGAAUGAAUCUGGCAUCUCUGCUGCUGCUGCUGCUGCAUGUAAGCAAGUUGUUCUAAUGCACUUAUCUCUUGUUUCUCUAAAGGUUAUAGAAGUAAAUAAUCUUGCUUUAACACAGUGUCCUUGCAGUCCCUGCCUAGCUCCAUGGAUAACUCUUCCUAAGGCUGCCUUGUGGUGAUUAAUACCCUACAGAGGGGAAUUAUUUUUUUAUUUAAAAGGAAGCAAAGAAGUAAAGCUUGAAGAUGCUUCAUGCCCCCUGUGCUUGAGGCUGACUAGUUUUAGCUUCUUCCUCCAGCUUGAGGGAACUGGUGCAAUGUGUUCCCUGCUGCCCUGUGAUGUUUAUCCCUGUGGACCAGGUAAGCAGCACCAAGCUUCUUUCUGUGGGCUGGAGAGGGAAUGUGAGCUGGGCAGGAGAGGCUGGAGUGUCUCACCCCUCCCUCCCUGGCACUUGUGCUGUGCUGAGCUCACGCUGAUGCUGCUCCUGUCUCUGUAAUGGGUUUUUUAGCACUCUUCAGAGACCUGGGUACUGCCCUGGCCUACUGCCAAGGACUGGCAGACCACUGGGAAGCAGGCUGGUACUGCCCAGGGUUUCCCUGAACAGUGUGGCAGGGCACCAAGUACACAUAACCCAGCAGCCAGGCUUGCAGCUGUUUGAAACACUGAGAUUAAUGAAAACUGCCCCUUUGCCCUGAAUAUUCUCAGUAUUGCACCCCUCUCCAUCCAUCCAUCCAUCCAUCCAUCCAUCCAUCCAUCCAUCCAUCAUCCAUCCAUCCAUCCAUCCAUCCAUCCAUCCAUCCAUCCAUCAUCCAUCCAUACAUCCAUCUUGUCUGGGAUUACAGUUCUGCAUUCUCUCCUUUUCCAGAAACCUUUUGUCUCUGUGGAGCACAAAUGUUGCCCUGAGCCAUCCAGCUCUAUGUGCUCCCCACAGACGUGGCUUCUCCAAAACUUUCCACUUAGUGGUCAAACCUCUUUUGACUUUUGAAAGCUUUGGCUUGGGAGGGAAAUUCUUCUACUGCAGGAAGGGAUACUGCAAAAUAAAUCCCACCACGGGCAAGGGAGAGGCAUCUAAUCUUCCUGCUCCCUAGAUUUAGCUGUGCCAUUAGCCUGGACCCUGCACAUGAAGCUAAUUUUAUAAUUUGUAAACGUAGCUGAGUGGGUUUAUAGAGGAAUGUCGGGAAGUGAUGAAAUACCUUCAAUAGAUUUAUAAAGAAGUUCAAUGCAUAAAGCUCUCUCCCCCCCUUCUGCCCCCCUCCUUCUGUCUUGGAGUUGCACACAACAGAAAACAUGGCCAUGGGAAGGGCUUUGUGGCCAGCACUCAAGCCUUUAAUUUUGCUUUUACAAGACAGUUUUAUAACAUCAAGAAGAAUGGAAAAGCUGCAAGGCAUGCACACUCAAGAUGCUGUGCUCCUGGAAAGUUCUGGACGGGCUCCAGGCAAUGUUUGGUGGCAAAGAAAGAUGAAGGUCUUGGAAAGAAGAGGAAAUAAUCAGCCAAGCCCUCAUCCUUCAAUAUUCCUGUUUCUGUGAGCUGGGAAUACCAUUGGAGCAUGGGAAGGACAGAAAAAAUUCAUUCCUGCAACAUCCUGUGUCUGAGGGGUGCCCCAGUGAUAACCUGGAUAAUACAAUCUGAUUUUGGCCUUGAGUCUGUUCCCUUGGAUUAUCGCAUUUCUUCAAGGACCAAAAGCUGUGCUGGUGAUUCAGACCCGGAGGAGAAUGUCUCUUUUAGUGGGAUGGAACAUCCACUGCCUCUGUGGGAGAGCUCUGCUUUCACCGCCUUCAUGCACCAAAUGUUUCUAAAGGGAAACUUCUGCUGUCCUGAUGCAAAGACAAGAGCUCUCCCUGCUCCAAAUCCUCUGAAACUUUUUCCUCUUCAUCCGCAAGGCAGGAGCUGGAGGCCAUGGACACCUUGGUUCAGCUGAAGUCUCCAAAUCAAAAGGAGAUAAUUAAUGGAGGAUAGAAAGCUGGGACAAAAACAAGCUGUCAAAAGAAAAAGAAGAAGUUGCUAAUGUGUCUGUCAUCCCUGUUCCCUCCUGGCCAGCCCCCAGAGGUGGGAGGCGGGCACUCCGUGUCUGAUGGAGAGAAAAGAGGGUGUUGUCAGCCUCAGCUGUCUCCAGAUAUCAGCUCUCUUCUCUUGAAGACUCAUCUUGCUGCCAGGCCACUUCCUCUGCUGUCCCCCAAACUGUUCUGGGGAGGGAUUUGCUCCACGGACGCUUUGAUGGCGGUGACUUCCCGGCACAAGCGCUUCCAGCUCGGGUUUGAUCCGCUGUGCCGCACGCCUACGAUCGAUUUGUGUCCCAGUAGUGCCUAUUUCUCUUCAUUACCCACAGACAGACAAUUCAUCAGCAGUGUGGUGAGACUGUGCAAGCUGUGGGGGAUCUCCCAGGAGCCCUUUUGCUCACGAAAUUCCAGAGCCAAGUGCUGCUGCUGGCUGGGCAAGGCAGAGUUUCAUCUCCUAUGAUUUUCCUCAGCGUGGCUCCUAUGAGUUUCCUCUGGUGGCUGGCAGUGAGGUGGUUACAAGGACAAUAUUCUGGUUUUAACCACCACAGCUCCCCUGGCUGGCCCAGUGCAAGGUGGCCACGGGCCUCCCACAGUGUAUUUAUCUGGAUUCCUGGCCUGGAAUUCAAAUUCCACACUAAGAAGGCAAUGCUCAGAAAGAGGAUGCUGUCUCCAGAGGAUGGAGAUGUUUUGCUCCUGACUCCCCAGCAGGUCUUGGCCAGUUCCUGGGGUUUAGCACACCAUGGGCUCCCCUAAAGGGUCAGGGUGGGGCAGCUGCCUUAGGAGGGUGAUAAUUAAAUGGUCACAGACAUGAUUAUCUUCUUUUUACUGCCUUAUUUCGAUGGGAAGUGGUAAUAAAUUGCACAGGUCUCUUUUUCUGAGUAAGGCUUCUCCUAGGCUGGAAAGGGGGAUCCUGUAGCAUGCAGUAAUUAAUGAAUAAACUGAAAAGCACUCCAGGAUUUCAGAAUGUCACCAAUUCCCAUGUCCAGGCUUCUCUCUGGCCAGCAGAUGUUGUGGGUUACACUGUGUAUUGUUUCCAGAAAUGCUGCAUCUGCUGCCUCCUUUGGCUUUUGGUGUUCAGCUCCUGUUUGGGCUGCUAGGAUAAGGCUGGGACAGCCAUUCCUUUCCUGUAUUCAUAGGGU